AUGACCUAAUAACUACCACAUUUACAGGAAGUAUGGUAAUACAUUCUUGUCAGCUGUCUGGGCAAAUCUUCUCUCGCAGAAUUGGAUUAAAAUUUAAUGUAUUUUAUUUCUCACUUCCAACGAUGUCGCAAUUAUUAGGCAGCUAUCAAGUCUCAAGAUAUGACAUAAUUUGAUAGAAUGUUAGUACCAACGCUAUCAGUGCAUUGAAGUCGAGUUCUCGAUACAGGGAGCUGCUGGUAAACUACCGUCGCUAUACAUCGACUAUGACUACAAUCUUACUUUUAAAAACAAACUACAUACAUAUCUCACAUUUGCGAGGACUACUUCAUCACAAGCAAAAAAUCGACAUUGGUAAAUAAAGGUCUGUCUUCUAUAACCACGAUGAAAAGAAAAGCUGGGCGAAAACAUU